rnacentral:rRNA from 1 species
GACGAACGCUGGCGGCGUGCUUAACACAUGCAAGUCGAACGGAAAGGCCCUGCUUUUGUGGGGUGCUCGAGUGGCGAACGGGUGAGUAACACGUGAGUAACCUGCCCUUGACUUUGGGAUAACUUCAGGAAACUGGGGCUAAUACCGGAUAGGAGCUCCUGCUGCAUGGUGGGGGUUGGAAAGUUUCGGCGGUGGGGGAUGGACGCGCGGCUUAUCAGCUUGUUGGUGGGGUAGUGGCUUACCAAGGCUUUGGCGGGUAGCCGGCCUGAGAGGGUGACCGGCCACAUUGGGACUGCGAUACGGCCCAGACUCCUACGGGAGGCAGCAGUGGGGAAUAUUGCACAAUGGGCGGAAGCCUGAUGCAGCAACGCCGCGUGCGGGAUGACGGCCUUCGGGUUGUAAACCGCUUUCGCCUGUGACGAAGCGUGAGUGACGGUAAUGGGUAAAGAAGCACCGGCUAACUACGUG